UGAGGUUAAUAGGUUUGAGGUGGAAGCGUGGCGACACGUGGAGCUGACAAAUACUAAUCGAUCGAGGACUUAACUAACUU
rnacentral:rRNA from 1 species